CCCUUAGAUGUUCUGGGCCGCACGCGCGCUGCAAUGGCAGACUCAGCGAGUUACCUCUGUCGAAAGGCACAGGGAAUCUUUACAGUAUCUGCCGUGAUGGGGAUAGACCCUUGUAAUUUUUGGUCUUCAACGAGGAAUUCCUAGUAAACGCAAGUCAUUAACUUGCAUUGAUUACGUCCCUGCCCUUUGUACACACCGCCCGUCGCACCUACCGAUUGAAUGGUCCGGUGAAGUCCUCGGACCCAGUUGAACCUCGAGUUGAACAGGGAAAGUUGACUAAAUCUUACCAUUUAGAGGAAGGUGAAGUCGUAACA
rnacentral:rRNA from 1 species